rnacentral:rRNA from 1 species
GAUGAACGCUGGCGGCGUGCUUAACACAUGCAAGUCGAACGGUGAGGCCUCUUUCGCUGGGUACUCUAGUGGCGAACGGGUGAGUAACACGUGAGUAACCUGCCCUUGACUUUGGGAUAACUUCAGGAAACUGGGUCUAAUACCGGAUAGGAGCGCCUACUGCAUGGUGGGUGUUGGAAAGUUUUGUCGGUUUGGGAUGGACUCGCGGCUUAUCAGCUUGUUGGUGGGGUAAUGGCUUACCAAGGCCUCGACGGGUAGCCGGCCUGAGAGGGUGACCGGCCACAUCGGGAAUGGGGAAAGGCCCCGAACCCCAAGGGGGGGAGGAGUGGGGAAUAUUGCAAAAUGGGUCGAAGCCCGAUGGCGGCAAGGCGGGGGCGGGAAGAAGGGCCUCGGGGUGUAAAACGUCUUUGAGUAUGAAGAAAGUGAGAGUGACGGUAGUGGGUAAAGAAGCACCGGCUAACUACGUG